GACGAACGCUGGCGGCGUGCUUAACACAUGCAAGUCGAACGGAAAGGCCCUGCUUUUGUGGGGUGCUCGAGUGGCGAACGGGUGAGUAACACGUGAGUAACCUGCCCUUGACUUUGGGAUAACUUCAGGAAACUGGGGCUAAUACCGGAUAGGAGCUCCUGCUGCAUGGUGGGGGUUGGAAAGUUUCGGCGGUUGGGGAUGGACUCGCGGCUUAUCAGCUUGUUGGUGGGGUAGUGGCUUACCAAGGCUUUGACGGGUAGCCGGCCUGAGAAGGUGACCGACCAAAUUGGGACAGAGAUACGGCACAGACUCCUACGGGAGGCAACAGAGGGGAAUAUUGCACAAUGGGCGGAAGCCUGAUGCAGCAACGCCGCGUGCGGGAUGACGGCCUUCGGGUUGUAAACCGAUUUCGCCUGUGACGAAGCGUGAGUGACGGUAAUGGGUAAAGAAGCACCGGCUAACUACGUG
rnacentral:rRNA from 1 species